GUGAAUCAUCAAAUUUUUGAACGCAAAUUGCGCCUUUUUCGGAAGUCAUGUCUGUUUGAGGGCACCAUUUAACAAAUAAUGUGCAGCGUUUUUUGCGGCACACGUUGAUGAGCUUUCCAAUAAUAAUAAAUUUUGUGUGGCGCAUAAUGAACAUCGUGAAAGUUUUUUUCAGUUCGAGUGUAGUAAAAACUUUGCUUUGUUUGUAAAAAAACAUAAUCGUGCAUUUGGUAAUGCAGUUUCUUUUUAUCCCUUC
rnacentral:misc_RNA from 1 species